GCUUACAGCCAUACCAGCCCAAGAACGCCCGGUCACGUCUGAUCUCGGAAGCUAAGUAGGCUUGGGCCUGGUUAGUACUUGGAAGGGAGACCUCUUGGGAAUACCAGGUGCUGUAAGUU
ensembl:rRNA 5S_rRNA 5S ribosomal RNA